rnacentral:lncRNA from 1 species
CAGGUUUAUUUCAAAAUUUAAAACAAUGUAUUCAUGGAAAGCAAGUGUCCAGUAUAACUGGCAUGUGUAUGUGGUAUUCAGAAUCACCUUGUAAAUAGUUUGCUUUUAAAGGAGGGCAUGUUUUCUAUGUAUUAAAAUACACCUGUGUGCUCACUUUAAAUACUAUGUUUACUUCAUGCUGAGUGUUUGCAAACGGUUGAUAGGAGUAUUAAUAGAGAAUUCUUGAGAACGAAUAAAUAAUGAGCUAGGGUGUGUGAAGCUUUGUGCAAAUAGGUCAGCUCCACCUGGAGUGCUG